rnacentral:rRNA from 1 species
UACGUAGGAGGCGAGCGUUGUCCGGAUUCAUUGGGCGUAAAGAGCUCGUAGGCGGCUUGAUAAGUCGGAUGUGAAACCUCCAGGCUCAACCUGGAGUCGCCAUCCGAUACUGUCAUAGCUAGAGUCCGGUAGGGGCCCACGGAACUCCUGGUGUAGCGGUGAAAUGCGUAGAUAUCAGGAGGAACACCGGCGGUGUAGACGGCUUUCUGGACCGUAGCUGACGCUGAGACACGAAAGCGUGGGUAGCAAACAGG